UCCAUAAUGUAUGCCAUCAGUCAGAGUGAAACACUGAAGGAAGAUGCAUAUUUACAGGGGUUAUGAUACUCAUGAUGGCACAGAUGCUGAAGCCUGAAUGAGAGAGUUUCCUGUCCGUCACUCAGAGAAAACCUCGUUCUGCUGGAAAAUGUCUGUUCGAAGCAGUCUGGUCCUAAAAUCUGCCUAACUUAAAGCAGGUUUAUCAGCCAGAGGAAAUGGGAGAAGGAUGCUGAUGUUUCCACGGAAACAGGUGGACUCGGAUGAACUGACUAUCAGCAGCAAUCAUUUAGGACUCUAAGAAAGGAG